AUGCUCCCUGGGCGCUUGAUGCGAAAAAGGUGGUUCACUCAGGGCAAGGCUCAGCCAUUGCACUCUGGUUGUGGUGACCCCUGCGAAUCCCCCAAAUGUGUGAAUCUCAACUGCAUAAGUUCUGGUAGUGGGGGACGGCAUUUGCGCUCUCCCCUG